rnacentral:rRNA from 1 species
AUUGAACGCUGGCGGCAGGCCUAACACAUGCAAGUCGAGCGAGCGGCGGACGGGUGAGUAAUGUAUGGGGACUGCCCGAUAGAGGGGGAUAACUACUGGAAACGGUGGCUACUACCGCAUACUAUCGGAUAACCCAUAUGGGAUUAGCUAGUAGGUGGGGUAAAGGCUCACCGAGGCGACGAUCUCUAGCUGGUCUGAGAGGAUGAUCAGCCACACUGGGACUGAGACACGGCCCAGACUCCUACGGAGGCAGCAGUGGGGAAUAUUGCGCAAUGGGGGCAACCCUGACGCAGCCAUGCCGCGUGAAUGAAGAAGGCCUUCGGGUUGUAAAGUUCUUUCGGUAGCGAGGCGUUAACUACAGAAGAAGCACCGGCUAACUCCGUGCCAGCAGCCGCGGUAAUUC